GACGAACGCUGGCGGCGUGCUUAACACAUGCAAGUCGAACGGAAAGGCCCUGCUUUUGUGGGGUGCUCGAGUGGCGAACGGGUGAGUAACACGUGAGUAACCUGCCCUUGACUUUGGGAUAACUUCAGGAAACUGGGGCUAAUACCGGAUAGGAGCUCCUGCUGCAUGGUGGGGGUUGGAAAGUUUCGGCGGUUGGGGAUGGACUCGCGGCUUAUCAGCUUGUUGGUGGGGUAGUGGCUUACCAAGGCUUUGACGGGUAGCCGGCCUGAGAGGGUGACCGGCCACAUUGGGACUGAGAUACGGCCCAGACUCCUACGGGAGGCAGCAGUGGGGAAUAUUGCACAAUGGGCGGAAGCCUGAUGCAGCAACGCCGCGUGCGGGAUGAUGGCCUUCGGGUUGUAAACCGCUUUCGCCUGUGACGAAGCGUGAGUGACGGUAAUGGGUAAAGAAGCACCGGCUAACUACGUGCCAGCAGCCGCGGUGAUACGUAGGGUGCGAGCGUUGUCCGGAUUUAUUGGGCGUAAAGGGCUCGUAGGUGGUUGAUCGCGUCGGAAGUGUAAUCUUGGGGCUUAACCCUGAGCGUGCUUUCGAUACGGGUUGACUUGAGGAAGGUAGGGGAGAAUGGAAUUCCUGGUGGAGCGGUGGAAUGCGCAGAUAUCAGGAGGAACACCAGUGGCGAAGGCGGUUCUCUGGGCCUUUCCUGACGCUGAGGAGCGAAAGCGUGGGGAGCGAACAGGCUUAGAUACCCUGGUAGUCCACGCUGUAAACGGUGGGUACUAGGUGUGGGGUCCAUUCCACGGGUUCCGUGCCGUAGCUAACGCUUUAAGUACCCCGCCUGGGGAGUACGGCCGCAAGGCUAAAACUCAAAGGAAUUGACGGGGCCCCGCACAAGCGGCGGAGCAUGCGGAUUAAUUCGAUGCAACGCGUAGAACCUUACCUGGGUUUGACAUGGAUCGGGAGUGCUCAGAGAUGGGUGUGCCUCUUUUGGGGUCGGUUCACAGGUGGUGCAUGCCUGUCGUCAGCUCGUGUCGUGAGAUGUUGGGUUAAGUCCCGCAACGAGCGCAACCCUUGUUCACUGUUGCCAGCACGUUAUGGUGGGGACUCAGUGGAGACCGCCGGGGUCAACUCGGAGGAAGGUGGGGAUGACGUCAAGUCAUCAUGCCCCUUAUGUCCAGGGCUUCACGCAUGCUACAAUGGCUGGUACAGAGAGUGGCGAGCCUGUGAGGGUGAGCGAAUCUCGGAAAGCCGGUCUCAGUUCGGAUUGGGGUCUGCAACUCGACCUCAUGAAGUCGGAGUCGCUAGUAAUCGCAGAUCAGCAACGCUGCGGUGAAUACGUUCCCGGG
rnacentral:rRNA from 1 species